CCUACGGGGGCUGCAGUGGGGAAUAUUGGACAAUGGGCGAAAGCCUGAUCCAGCCAUGCCGCGUGUGUGAAGAAGGCCUUCGGGUUGUAAAGCACUUUCAGUGGGGAAGAAAGCCUUGGGGCUAAUACCCUCGAGGAAGGACAUCACCCACAGAAGAAGCACCGGCUAACUCCGUGCCAGCAGCCGCGGUAAUACGGAGGGUGCGAGCGUUAAUCGGAAUUACUGGGCGUAAAGCGCGCGUAGGCGGUCUGAUAAGCCGGUUGUGAAAGCCCCGGGCUCAACCUGGGAACGGCAUCCGGAACUGUCAGGCUAGAGUGCAGAAGAGGAAGGUAGAAUUCCCGGUGUAGCGGUGAAAUGCGUAGAGAUCGGGAGGAAUACCAGUGGCGAAGGCGGCCUUCUGGACUGGCACUGACGCUGAGGUGCGAAAGCGUGGGUAGCAAACAGGAUUAGAUACCCGUGUAGUC
rnacentral:rRNA from 1 species